rnacentral:misc_RNA from 1 species
CAGACGGGCAGCAAGUGUCGUGGUUCAAUUGUGCAGUGUUGAAAAAUCAAACUAAAUUCAAAAUCGGCUCUAAAGCAAACAAAUUCAUAAAGGGAAAUCCCCAAAGAAAAUAACCCUCAGUGUUUCAAAAGUGUUCAAAUUUUACAAUUGCAGCAUCUCACCAACAAAUUCAGCAAUCAUCGUGAAUUUUCAAAAUAAAAGAAAAUACAGAAAUCAACAGUGCAAACGACACUGAGUUGCAGCUGAAUGUGAAAGAAGCAACUGCAGCAGCCGCAUAAAAAUCGAGAAGAAUAGACAACACAGCAUUGGAGAGGCAACAAUAACACUUGGAUCUGCUGCAGCAACAUCCAUAAUCGAAAGCUAAGCCACAUCAUCGAAAUCUUUGGGCAGUGUGGAAGCGGCAUUAACCAGCAGCAACAUCAUUUAGCUCCGUCCAUGGGCGCCGCGGCAAACAGAGUCCGGUGAAAAUGGACAAAGGCCGCGCGAGGCUGCCGCCGAAUUAGCAGAGAAGCCGGAAAAUCCCCACACACUUACACACACGGACGGGCAGUGCAAAUAUUUGCCAGGCCCCAAAAAAAAAAAGAAAAUACAUAUAUAUAUUCAAAAAAAAAAAAAAGAGAGCACACAUAUAACAAAGGGGCUCAGAAGGGGAAGCAUUUGUGCGACAAUAGCCAAGGAAUUAGCCACAAAAGAAGGAGCGAAACCGGGUCCAUUAAGACAGCCAUCAGACCAUCAGAUCCCAUCCCGGCUAGACGAGGUCCACUUAAAUGACCGAAUCCACACAGCUGCAGACGGCGGAGAACAACAACGCGGGCGUGGUCAAAAUGGAGCCCCCGCCGCCGGCGACCUCCUCCGUUUCCGUAUCCGCCGCCGCUGCCGCCCACGCCCUCUCCUCCCUCUCCUCGCUCACGAUGGCCGCCACCGGAUCCGCCCUCUCGCCGGCCACGCCCCCGCCCUCCCUGAACCUCUCACAUCAGCAACAGCAGCAGCAACAGCAGCACUACGCCCUCAAGUGGAACGACUUCCAGAGCUCGAUCCUCAGCUCCUUCCGUCACCUGCGGGACGAGGAGGACUUCGUCGAUGUGACGCUGGCCUGCGACGAGCGCUCCUUCACCGCCCACAAGGUCGUCCUCAGCGCCUGCAGUCCCUACUUCCGCCGGCUGCUCAAGGCCAAUCCCUGCGAGCACCCAAUAGUCAUCCUGCGCGACGUGCGCUGCGAUGACGUCGAGAAUCUGCUGAGCUUUAUGUACAAUGGUGAGGUGAAUGUCAGCCACGAACAGUUGCCCGACUUCCUGAAGACAGCUCAUCUGCUGCAGAUUCGCGGCCUGGCGGAUGUCAAUGGUGGUUAUCCCUACUCCAAGGCCUUGUCCGCCGCCUUGAGUCACAACAGCAGCAAUAACAACAACAAUAAUAACAACAACAAGAGCAGCAGCAACAACAGCCUGAGCAACAACAAUAAUAAUAAUAACAAUAAUAAUGCCGACAGCAGUAAUCACAACAAGAUAAGCAGCUAUUUACCGCCCAACCAAACGAGCGCCACGUGCAACAACAGCAAUAACAGCAACCACAGCAGCAGCAACAACAACAGCAGCAGCAACAACAACAUCAGCGGAUCCCUGAACAGCAGCCUGAACUCACCGUUCAGUGCGCCACAGAUACCGCCACCAGUGACCGCCUCGAGUGCAGCAGCAGCCGCAGCAGCGGCCGCAUCACUGACCGCCGCAGUAGCCGCAGCAGCGGCAGCAACAGCAGCAAGUGUCGGCAGCAGCGGCAGCGCCAGCGGACAGACGAGCGGUACGCCCGCCAUCCAGGAGCUGAAGGCGUCGUCGGCAGCGUCGCCCGUAAGAAACCCGAAUCCCAAUCCCAGCAAAGCCAGCAGCAGCAACCACUGGGACAUGGGCGAGAUGGAGGGCAGCAGGAAGAGCCAUCUGACGCCGCCGCCACAGAAACGCAUCAAGAGCGCCGACCUGUUCCGCGCCCAGCACGGCAUCAGUCCCGAGCGAUUGCUGCUGGAUCGCGAGUUCCCCGUCGCCGGACAGCAUCCGCUCACGCGGAACAGGAGCGGUCGGGAUACGUCCAAGGAUCGGGAGCGCAACAUGGAGCUGAGGGAAUCGCUACUGGGACAGGCUUUGGAGAACAGCAACGGACAGCAGGCCAAUCCGAAACACGAACUUGGCCAGAGCGCGGGUGAGGACUCGAACAGCAGUGACACGGAGCCCUCGGAUCGCGGCGAUGGUCAGCACGAUGGAACCCUCGACGGGAUUGACAAUCAGCGCUCGCACUCGUUCCCCAAUGCAUUCCUUGGCCUCCAGGGCAUUCCCGGCCUUCUGCCAGGACCCUCUGGCCUCAACAGCGACUUUGGCACAUUCCUCAAUGCCAAGAGCGGCAUCAAGCAGGAGGUGUUGGAGCCGGAAACGGAAGAGGAUGCAGUGCAGCAGCAGCAGCAGCCGCAGCCGCACGAGGCCCAUGCCGCCGACCGUCGUCCUGCAGCCUGUAAGCUGGCCAAGCUGAUGCAGCAGCAGGAGCAGCAGCAGCGUCAACUGUUUGACCAGCGGCGCAGCCAUCACCAGCCACACCAUCACCACCAGCCGCAUCAUCGCCACCAACAUCAUCACCACCAUCACCACCAUCGGAUCAACAACAAUAACAACAAUACGAAAAAGAACCGAUCGGCCAACUCCUCGCCCACGCCGUCGGCUCGAUCGUGGAACGACAGCGAAGACGAUCAGGACAUGGACUGCAGCAGCGGCAACCAGCAGCAGAGUGCGCAGCAGCAGCAGCAGCAGCAACAGCAGCACAAUAGCAACGAGGAUGAGGAUGAUCGCUCCUCGUCGGCCUCCUCGGCCAUAUCCUUGACCAUGAAGAGAACGCGCCAGGAUAGCGAGUCCACGCUCUACCAAACGCUGCUUAUGAAGCAGGAGCAGCACCAGCAGCAGCAUCAACAGCAGCAGCAGCAGCAUCAGCAACAGCAGCAGCAGCAGCAGUAUCUGGACGAGCUGCAGCAGUCGCACCAGCAGCAACUGACGGCAAAUCUGUUUAUGGCCAGGACAAUAGCUCUGAGCAGGUCACGAGAUUUUCCGGAACUCUUCCAAAACACCAUUGCCGCGGCGGCUGCGAAUGCGACAGCUGCAUCGGCCAGUCCGGGUAACAAUGCCAGUGGACCCGGUCAGCAGGUGGUGGCAUCCGGACCCGGACCGGGACCAGGAAGUGCUGCACCCGUGGCCGUGGGAGGUGGCAGCGGAGCGGCAGCCGGAAACAGCAACUACAUGCUGCCCUGUCCGCUGUGUGAGACGCCGCUGGAGCAGCGUGUGUUCCGGCAGCACCUGGACCGACACUAUCCGCGCGACAGUCCCGUCUGUCCGGUGAUCGAAUGCGGCCGCCGGUUCGCGCAUCCCAACUCCGUGCGGAAUCACAUGCGGAUCAAGCACACGCUGCAGUGGGCCAAGAUGAAGGCCAUGCGGUCGUCGGGCGGCCCCUUCGCCGGCGGUCCGGACUUCAAAUGAAACUGCGAGGCCGUGGGCUAAUGUUACUCCGCGUAGUCACGCUAAAAGCUUUCUAGGUUGCUGCUUCUCAGUCAGUCAAUGGCGACAAUAAAUCGAAUCUAACUCGCAAUCCACGAGAAAUCACCCCAGUCUCGAGACACUCGCAUCUAUCGUAGAUAGCCAAAAGUAGUCCAAGACCCACUCGGAGUCCACUCUAACUAACAGUAACUGUAAGCGCACGAGAGCUCCUCGCCCGAUAGCCAACUACUGCUCCGCAUCCUGGCCACCAGUCAUGGACGCUGCUCCAAGUGAUCAAUUAGUAUUUCAAAGUAUUCAUUUCGGUCCAUAACAGGUUUCAGUCGAGUUACCAAAAAGUGAUUAGGGUCAGUACGAUUUCGUUCAUUACGAUUUUCAUUUUUUAUGUAGGAUAUCGAUUUAUGAGUAAUAGCAUUUGAAAAUUCAUGUUUCCAACAAAAGAAGAUUGCAGAGUAGAGACAUGACUGGCGGCGAUGGAUGAACGCGUUGGGUUAGGAAACUUACAACAAUUAUUACGUUCCUAUAUGCGAUAAAGUACAUAUACUACAUGUGCAGACACCUACAGCUCUAAUACGUUUACCUAAGCAAAAGUAAAUCUCAAACUCUGAAUUCCUUUACACUAGCUGAUGGAGUUCAUCUGUAGGUCUCGGCUCCAGAAGCGCUCCAGUUAAGCAUGUGCAGUAUUAAAGUAAAAGCUAACGAAACCGAAGAACUACACACCAGAAGAAUAGUAAAUAGUAAUUCAUAGAGUUCCAUAAGCAAAAUACGUACGAUUAAGCCAUAGAGGGUGAGAUAACUAUGUAGAUAAAGAGCUAAAAACAAGCAAACAAAGAAACAUGAUAUAUAGAAAUAUAUAAAGUAGUUAUUAUGAAUAUUGAUACUGAAACAAAAUAGAAUGUGCCUGCGUAAUAUAUUUUUAGCCAAAAAAAAGUAAAACGAAAAACUGAAAAAAUGAAAAAAUGAAACACAAGUAAACCAAAGUUGAUACGAACUAAAAUAAAAAUAAAAAGAAAACUCGGAAAAACUGAAAACGAUUUGUAUUAGAGAAAGUUCAAAAUUCAAGGAGAUAUUUUGUUGAUUACCCUAGGUUCACUGAACUGUAAUUCGAAUCAAUUGGCGGCAUAACACUCCAAGAGCAGACAUACGUAAAAAGGUUCCUAUAAUGUUAAUCAAAAAAAACACACAAAAAGCUCCAGCUACAAAACUGGCUAAAUGUGAGCGGACAAUUUUACAAUUGUAGUUUAUAAAGCCCAAAGAGAAAAACAAGCAGCCAUAAGUACAGCGAUUGUACAAACGUUUGUAUGCCAUUUUAGUUUGCGAAAUUGUCCGAAGGGGCGAAAACAAAUGUAUCUAGUACGAGUAUCUUGUAUCUGCGUUGCCUGAAGGAAUGUAUUUGGAGGCGGCAAAUCUAUUUUGGUGAACAAUAAAGAGCAAACGAAGACUAGCCCGCCUUUUCAUUGGUCUCUCCGUAAGCGGAACUUUGAUGAACCCAA